CUGAAACUCCCUCUGUAGACCAGGCUGGCCUCAGACUCCCAGAGAACCUGUGUCUACUUCUGAGCGCUGGGAAUGAAGGGGAGACCAGAGGCGAACUCAGCCAUACGGCUAGGCUUGCUGCUGCUGUUCCCUUGUGCAGCACAUUGGUCCUGUGAGGCAGGCGCUCUUCGCAGUCACGUGGGAGAGGCGCCUGCGUCGAUCGGAAGCACUUAGCAUAGCACUUUGGGAUCUUGGCCUUUCUAGGAGCCAGCUUGCUUUCAUCUUACUGUUUUGAUUGUGCCUCACAAGGGACAACACUCCGAUUGUCUAGGAGGAGGAAGGUCAGGGACAGAAAAGUAAAAGCCAGGAGCAGCCUGUCCUGUCUGCCUGGGCUGCUGGGGAAUGAUUGUCAGUGAAUCGAGUUGUCUGUGGAGCCCCUGAGCAAAUUCUCCCAGUGGCAGGUUGGACUUGAACUGGCACUGUUGCUGGGGAUGAUCGUGAUGAUGGUCCUUCUGUCUCUGUCUCCCAAGUGCUGGGAUUACAGGUAUAUGCCAACACACCUGGUUUAUUUAGUGCGGAGAAUUUAACCCAGGGCCUCCUGGAUGCUAGUUUAAGU
rnacentral:lncRNA from 1 species